GAAUUCUCAACCAUGUCUCAUGACGAGGCUUGGCUUGGACUUGGGGGCUGCUGGCGGCCAAGGUCGUCGACUCCCCUGAAAAGUAUUAGCAAAGGGCAGCAAGCCUGUGAUGUGGCACGGCCUUUUCGACGUGAUAGUGAUCGUCGCCGCUGGAGCGUCCGGACGAGCGACACACGAAGUCUGUUUGCUUCCAAUUCCCCUUUGACUUGGGACUUUCGAGCCAAGCCUAGCUACUAGUCACCGACGAACGCAGGCAAGGCUUUUUCGUCCCUCGUCUUCAUCGACG
rnacentral:misc_RNA from 1 species